rnacentral:rRNA from 1 species
AUGCGUAGGCGUUUUGGUAUGUCCAAUGUUAAAGCCCUCGGCUCAACCGAGGAGAAGCAUUGGAAACUGCCAGAAUUGAGACAGAGAGAGGGAAGUAGAAUUCUCGGUGGAGCGGUGAAAUGCGUUGAUAUCGAGAGGAAUACCAGUGGCGAAGGCGACUUCCUGGCUCUGUUCUGACGCUGAGGCUCGAAAGCGUGGGUAGCAAAAC